rnacentral:rRNA from 1 species
GACGAACGCUGGCGGCGUGCCUAAUACAUGCAAGUUGAGCGCUGAAGGUUGGUACUUGUACCAACUGGAUGAGCAGCGAACGGGUGAGUAACGCGUGGGGAAUCUGCCUUUGAGCGGGGGACAACAUUUGGAAACGAAUGCUAAUACCGCAUAAAAACUUUAAACACAAGUUUUAAGUUUGAAAGAUGCAAUUGCAUCACUCAAAGAUGAUCCCGCGUUGUAUUAGCUAGUUGGUGAGGUAAAGGCUCACCAAGGCGAUGAUACAUAGCCGACCUGAGAGGGUGAUCGGCCACAUUGGGACUGAGACACGGCCCAAACUCCUACGGGAGGCAGCAGUAGGGAAUCUUCGGCAAUGGACGUAAGUCUGACCGAGCAACGCCGCGUGAGUGAAGAAGGUUGUCGGAUCGUAAAACUCUGUUGGUAGAGAAGAACGUUGGUGAGAGUGGAAAGCUCAUCAAGUGACGGUAACUACCCAGAAAGGGACGGCUAACUACGUG